GAUGAACGCUGGCGGCGUGCCUAAUACAUGCAAGUCGAGCGAACAGACGAGGAGCUUGCUCCUCUGACGUUAGCGGCGGACGGGUGAGUAACACGUGGAUAACCUACCUAUAAGACUGGGAUAACUUCGGGAAACCGGAGCUAAUACCGGAUAAUAUAUUGAACCGCAUGGUUCGAUAGUGAAAGACGGUUUUGCUGUCACUUAUAGAUGGAUCCGCGCCGCAUUAGCUAGUCGGUAAGGUAACGGCUUACCAAGGCAACGAUGCGUAGCCGACCUGAGAGGGUGAUCGGCCACACUGGAACUGAGACACGGUCCAGACUCCUACGGGAGGCAGCAGUAGGGAAUCUUCCGCAAUGGGCGAAAGCCUGACGGAGCAACGCCGCGUGAGUGAUGAAGGUCUUCGGAUCGUAAAACUCUGUUAUUAGGGAAGAACAAAUGUGUAAGUAACUAUGCACGUCUUGACGGUACCUAAUCAGAAAGCCACGGCUAACUACGUG
rnacentral:rRNA from 1 species